rnacentral:rRNA from 1 species
GACGUAGGGCGCAAGCGUUGUCCGGAUUUAUUGGGCGUAAAGAGCUCGUAGGCGGCUUGUUGCGUCGUCCGUGAAAACCCGCAGCUCAACUGCGGGCUUGCGGACGAUACGGGCAGGCUAGAGUUCGGUAGAGGAGACUGGAAUUCCUGGUGUAGCGGUGAAAUGCGCAGAUAUCAGGAGGAACACCGGUGGCGAAGGCGGGUCUCUGGGCCGAUACUGACGCUGAGGAGCGAAAGCGUGGGGAGCGAACAGG